rnacentral:snoRNA from 1 species
GAAAGUGAUGAUAGUUUAUUGUCGCCCCAGUCUUAAGUUGCAUCCAAAAAUAUUGGAUUUGCAAGGUGGUGAUUGACUUGUUAUAUCUGAUUC